UACGUAGGGUGCAAGCGUUAUCCGGAAUUAUUGGGCGUAAAGAGCUCGUAGGCGGUUUGUCGCGUCUGCUGUGAAAACUGGAGGCUCAACCUCCAGCCUGCAGUGGGUACGGGCAGACUAGAGUGCGGUAGGGGAGAUUGGAAUUCCUGGUGUAGCGGUGGAAUGCGCAGAUAUCAGGAGGAACACCGAUGGCGAAGGCAGAUCUCUGGGGCCGUAACUGACGCUGAGGAGCGAAAGCAUGGGGGAGCGAACAGG
rnacentral:rRNA from 1 species